rnacentral:tRNA from 1 species
GGGGCUGUAGCUCAGCCGGGAGAGCGCUACACUCGCAUUGUAGAGGCCAGGGGUUCGAAUCCCCUCAGCUCCACCA